rnacentral:rRNA from 1 species
UACGUAGGUGGCGAGCGUUAUUCGGAAUUACUGGGCGUAAAGCGUGCGCAGGCGGUGAUGUAAGACAGGUGUGAAAUCCCCGGGCUUAACCUGGGAACUGCAUUUGUGACUGCAUUGCUGGAGUGCGGCAGAGGGGGAUGGAAUUCCGCGUGUAGCAGUGAAAUGCGUAGAUAUGCGGAGGAACACCGAUGGCGAAGGCAAUCCCCUGGGCCUGCACUGACGCUCAUGCACGAAAGCGUGGGGAGCAAACAGG